GCAGCAUAAUAGACCGUUCGUGACAGACUUUUAAAGCUCAGCUGAUUUGGAUUGAUGGCAAAGGGAGAAAGGGACUUAAGUGAUAGUGAAAAACAACAAGUGUCCUUAUUCCUGGAAGGGGAAUCUGCAAUUCCUGCAGAGUUUUGUAACCAGUUGGG